rnacentral:rRNA from 1 species
CCAGACUCCUACGGGAGGCAGCAGUGGGGAAUAUUGGACAAUGGACCAAGAGUCUGAUCCAGCAAUUCUGUGUGCACGAUGAAGUUUUUCGGAAUGUAAAGUGCUUUCAGUUGGGAAGAAAGAAAUGACGGUACCAACAGAAGAAGUGACGGCUAAAUACGUGCCAGCAGCCGCGGUAAUACGUAUGUCACGAGCGUUAUCCGGAUUUAUUGGGCGUAAAGCGCGUCUAGGUGGUUAUAUAAGUCUGAUGUGAAAAUGCAGGGCUCAACUCUGUAUUGCGUUGGAAACUGUAUAACUAGAGUACUGGAGAGGUAAGCGGAACUACAAGUGUAGAGGUGAAAUUCGUAGAUAUUUGUAGGAAUGCCGAUGGGGAAGCCAGCUUACUGGACAGAUACUGACGCUGAAGCGCGAAAGCGUGGGUAGCAAACAGGAUUAGAUACCCUGGUAGUCCACGCCGUAAACGAUGAUUACUAGGUGUUGGGGGUCGAACCUCAGCGCCCAAGCAAACGCGAUAAGUAAUCCGCCUGGGGAGUACGUACGCAAGUAUGAAACUCAAAGGAAUUGACGGGGGCCCGCACAAG